rnacentral:tRNA from 1 species
GGGGCAUUAGCUCAGUUGGUAGAGCGCUUGCUUCGCAUGUAAGAGGUCGUCGGUUCGAAUCCGAUAUGCUCCACCA